rnacentral:rRNA from 1 species
UACGGGGGGGGCAAGCGUUGUUCGGAAUUACUGGGCGUAAAGGGCUCGUAGGUGGUCAACUAAGUCAUACGUGAAAUCCCUCGGCUUAACCGGGGAACUGCGCCUGAUACUGGUUGACUUGAGUUUGGGAGAGGGACGCGGAAUUCCAGGUGUAGCGGUGAAAUGCGUAGAUAUCUGGAGGAACACCAGCGGCGAAGGCGGCAUCCUGGCCCUGACCUGACGCUGAGGCGCGAUAGCGUGGGGAGCAAACGGG